UCAAGAAGUAGUUUAA
rnacentral:tRNA from 2 species